rnacentral:rRNA from 1 species
ACCUAUGGCCAUACCAGAGUGAAUGCCCAUGCACAUUCAUAACAUCCAACAGUAAACAGUUUGGGACCCGGUUAGUACUUGGAUGGGAGACCACCUGGAAAUCCCAGCUGCAGUUGGCA